rnacentral:lncRNA from 1 species
AACUUUCAAGAAAAAUAACCAGUCUAAUCGAAUUGUAUAACGAAAACUAGUAUCAAUGUCUAAAAAAGAAGAUGUGGUAUGAUUGCCAAUGAGACAACUAUCCACAAAAGACCAAAAUAGCACAGACAUUAACAACUAUAGGUCACCGUACGGCCUUAAACAAUGAGCAAAGCCCAUACCGCAUAGUCAGCUAUAAAAGGCCCCGAUAAGACAAUGUAAAACAAUUCAAACGAGAAAACUAACGGCCUUAUUUAUGUAAAAAAAAAAAUAAAAAAAAAAAAAAAAAAUGAACGAAAAACAAAUAUGUAACACAUACACAAACGACAACCACUGAAGUACAGGCUCCUGACUUGGGACAGGC